GACGAACGCUGGCGGCGUGCUUAACACAUGCAAGUCGAACGGAAAGGCCCUGCUUGCAGGGUGCUCGAGUGGCGAACGGGUGAGUAACACGUGGGUGAUCUGCCCCUUACUUUGGGAUAAGCCUGGGAAACUGGGUCUAAUACUGGAUAGGACCAUGCUGUAGGUGGUGUGGUGGAAAGAUUAGUUUCGGUAAGGGAUGAGCUCGCGGCCUAUCAGCUUGUUGGUGGGGUAAUGGCCUACCAAGGCGUCGACGGGUAGCCGGCCUGAGAGGGUGGACGGCCACAUUGGGACUCGGAUACGGCCCAGACUCCUACGGGAGGCAGCAGUGGGGAAUAUUGCACAAUGGGCGCAAGCCUGAUGCAGCGACGCCGCGUGGGGGAUGACGGCCUUCGGGUUGUAAACUCCCUUCAGCCAUGACGAAGCCCUUGUGGUGACGGUAGUGGUAGAAGAAGCACCGGCUAACUACGUG
rnacentral:rRNA from 1 species